GACGAACGCUGGCGGCGUGCCUAAUACAUGCAAGUCGAGCGGACUUAAAAGGAGCUUGCUCCUUUUAAGUUAGCGGCGGACGGGUGAGUAACACGUGGGCAACCUGCCCUAUAGUUUGGGAUAACUCCGGGAAACCGGGGCUAAUACCGAAUAAUACGUUUUAACUCCUGUUAGAAUGUUGAAAGAUGGUUUACGCUAUCGCUAUAGGAUGGGCCCGCGGCGCAUUAGCUAGUAGGUGAGGUAACGGCUCACCUAGGCGACGAUGCGUAGCCGACCGGAGAGGGUGAUCGGCCACACUGGGACUGAGACACGGCCCAGACUCCUACGGGAGGCAGCAGUAGGGAAUCUUCCACAAUGGACGAAAGUCUGAUGGAGCAACGCCGCGUGAGUGAAGAAGGUUUUCGGAUCGUAAAACUCUGUUGUAAGGGAAGAACAAGUGCAGUAGUAACUGGCUGCACCUUGACGGUACCUUAUUAGAAAGCCACGGCUAACUACGUGCCAGCCGCCGCCGUAA
rnacentral:rRNA from 1 species